rnacentral:piRNA from 1 species
UGAACUUGGGAAACAGGCAAGGG